GAUUGAUCUGAUCCCUCCGAGAGCAGUCAGAAGGCCUGGUGUUGACGGCAUAAUCCUUUGUCACUGAAACACCUGAGCACAGCUACGCCAAGGCCCAACAGAUCCUGGCACUAUAGAAGCUAGAGGCUGAGGAUACAGCAAUGAAUCGAAUCGGGUCCCUGCCCACCCGGAGCCCACAGUCUCGUGAGAGGGACAGACACAUGGAUGUGCAGCUCCAAAACCGAG